UGGGUGUAAAGAGUUGCGUAGGUGGCAAGGUAAGUAGAUAGUGAAAUCUGGUGGCUCAACCAUUCAGACUAUUAUCUAAACUAUCUAGCUCGAGACUGUUAUGGGUAACUGGAAUUUCUAGUGUAGGAGUGAAAUCCGUAGAUAUUAGAAGGAACACCGAUAGCGUAGGCAGGUUACUGGGACAGUUCUGACACUAAGGCACGAAAGCGUAGGGAGCAAACGGGAUUAGAUACCCCGGUAGUCUACGCCGUAAACGAUGGAUACUAGCAGUUUUGGGUAUCGACCCCCGGAGUUGCGAAGCUAACGCGUUAAGUAUCCCACCUGUGUAGUACGAUCGCAAGAUUAAAACAUAAAGGAAUUGACGGGGACCCGCACAAGCGGUGGAGCGUGAUCUUUAAUUCGUCGGUAAACGAUAAACCUUACCAAGGCUUGACAUCCGAUGUAGGCUCUCGAAAGAGAACUGUGCCUUCGGGAACAUCGAGACAGGUGAUGCAUGGCCGUCGUCAGCUCGUGUCGUGAGAAG
rnacentral:rRNA from 1 species